rnacentral:rRNA from 1 species
UGAGUUUGAUCAUGGCUCAGGAUGAACGCUGGCGGCGUGCCUAACACAUGCAAGUCGAGCGAUUCUCUUCGGAGAAGAGCGGCGGACGGGUGAGUAACGCGUGGGUAACCUGCCCUGUACACACGGAUAACAUACCGAAAGGUAUGCUAAUACGAGAUAAUAUACUUUUAUCGCAUGGUAGAAGUAUCAAAGCUCCGGCGGUACAGGAUGGACCCGCGUCUGAUUAGCUAGUUGGUAAGGUAACGACUUACCAAGGCGACGAUCAGUAGCCGACCUGAGAGGGUGAUCGGCCACAUUGGAACUGAGACACGGUCCAAACUCCUACGGGAGGCAGCAGUGGGGAAUAUUGCACAAUGGGCGAAAGCCUGAUGCAGCAACGCCGCGUGAGCGAUGAAGGCCUUCGGGUCGUAAAGCUCUGUCCUCAAGGAAGAUAAUGACGGUACUUGAGGAGGAAGCCCCGGCUAACUACGUGCCAGCAGCCGCGGUAAUACGUAGGGGGCUAGCGUUAUCCGGAAUUACUGGGCGUAAAGGGUGCGUAGGUGGUUUCUUAAGUCAGAGGUGAAAGGCUACGGCUCAACCGUAGUAAGCCUUUGAAACUGGGAAACUUGAGUGCAGGAGAGGAGAGAAGAAUUCCA